rnacentral:rRNA from 1 species
UAUGAACGCUGGCGGCGUGCCUAAUACAUGCAAGUCGAGCGAACAGACGAGGAGCUUGCUCCUCUGACGUUAGCGGCGUACGGGUGAGUAACACGUGGAUAACCUACCUAUAAGACUGGGAUAACUUCGGGAAACCGGAGCUAAUACCGGAUAAUAUAUUGAACCGCAUGGUUCAAUAGUGAAAGACGGUUUUGCUGUCACUUAUAGAUGGAUCCGCGCCGCAUUAGCUAGUUGGUAAGGUAACGGCUUACCAAGGCAACGAUGCGUAGCCGACCUGAGAGGGUGAUCGGCCACACUGGAACUGAGACACGGUCCAGACUCCUACGGGAGGCAGCAGUAGGGAAUCUUCCGCAAUGGGCGAAAGCUUGACGGAGCAACGCCGCGUGAGUGAUGAAGGUCUUCGGAUCGUAAAACUCUGUUAUUAGGGAAGAACAAAUGUGUAAGUAACUAUGCACGUCUUGACGGUACCUAAUCAGAAAGCCACGGCUAACUACGUG